rnacentral:lncRNA from 1 species
CUCGGACCCUUCCUCGCCUCCUCUUCAUUCUUCUGCCUGGAUGGAAAAGACUAACUCUCAGGGCUCCAGCUCAAGCCCAAGCAACUGCCCUCUGCUGAUCCUCCCAGAAGACGCUUCUGGAGGGUUUCGCUGAUGUCUGGAAGAGCCACUGCGGGGUGGCGGGGGGCAGACUUUAGGAAAUAUACUAGCUUAUUCUGUUCCGAUUUCCUUUUCAGCUUCUCAAGGAUAGGUCUGAGAGGUUGUGAGGGACCCUAUUUCGGAAUCAUGGCAGUUGUAUGCCUCUUGUAGAUUCUGGGAACUCAAGGGAGGAACCCGGGGGCCUCAAAUGUGUGAAUUUCCAAGAAUCUUUAAGACCUCUGGCAGAUCAGGGAGGGCCCUGGUGAGGCAAUGAGCGUGACGGGAGCUGCGGGCGUCUGCCUGGCCUGAUGGUGGGUGGGUGGCUGCAUCCUCCUGAAGGGUCUUGGAAGGGCAGUCCUCCUCCCUGGCGGGGGAGCCAGAGGGCUCCCCUGGGGCAGUCUAGGAGGCCAUGACUCCUUUUGCAUCUGAGGGUCGAUGAUGCUCUUCUAAGAUAGGAAGGAGAGGGUCUUUCUGGGCGUGACUGAGAAACACCCUGAAGUUUAGUGAUUCUUUUUUUUUUAAUGAUGAUUUUUAUUUUUUCCAUUAUAGCUGGUUUACAGUGUUCUGUCAAUUCUCCACUGUACAGCAAGGCGACCCAGUCACCAUACAUGCAUACAUUCUUUUUUCUCACAGUACCAUGCCCCAUCAUAAGUGACUAGAUACAGUUCUCAGUGCUAUACAGCAGGAUCUCAUUGCUUAUCCAUUCCAAAGGCGAGAGUCUGCAUCUAUUAACCCCAAAGUCCCCGUCCAUCCCGCUCCCUCCCCCUUCCCCUUGGCAACCACAAGUCUAUUCUCCAAGUCCAUGAUUUUCUUUUCUGUGGAAAGUUUCCUUUGUGCCAUAUAUUAGAUUCCAGUUAUAAGUGAUAUCAUAUGGUAUUUGUCUUUCUCUUUCUGACUGACUUCACUCAGUAUGAGAGUCUCCAGUUCCAUAGUUGAGUGAUGCUUAAAUUGUUCUAAGCCCGUGGUUCUCAACGAGACUCAUAGCGGGAAACCACUGAGCGGAGUUCCCAGGCUAGGGGUCCAAUUGGAGCUGUAGCCGCCAGCCGACAAUGCAGCCACAGCAACACAGGAUCCAAGCCACAUCUGCGACCUACACCACAGCUCAUGGCAAUGCCGGAUCCUCAACCCACUGAGCGAGGCCAGGGAUCAAAUCUGCAACCUUAUGGUUCCUAGUCGGAUUUGUUUCUGCUGCGCCACAAUGGGAACUCCUGGAGAGAGAUUUCUAAAGAGUUGGGGAGGUGAAUCCCAGACUAGCCAGUGGGCCAGAAGCAAGCAAUGGUGGGCUGAACAACACAUGGAUCCUUCACUGGCCAAAGUGUGUCUGGAGUAGAUGGAUGAAGCUAGAGCGAAUGCAGACCCUUCACGGCCCAGAGAUGGCAGGAACUAAGAGAAUAAACCACACUGUGGGGCUCUUGGAUGCUAUACUUUUUCGUGGUCCUGGAAGCAUCCAUUUCCACAUAUUUCCCUUUGCACCUUUCCUUUGCAGUGUGGCCAUUGCAAAGAAAGAUCCGCUUUGGGAGUAGGCAAGGUACUAUCCCUAAAGAUGUAGCUAGGGGACAGGACCCCAGGUCCUUGGGUGGUGGCCAGACUGUGGCAGAGGGAAACUGGACCCAGUUCUGGCUCAGCCAGGUACCCCCCGUUAUGGAGUGCCUUGUCCACUGGGAACAGUGGUUAAAGCCACAGUCGGACUAGCUAGUGAUGACUGCAGUUAUCAGAGAUGAUUGGCCACUCUACACUGUUCAGUUUCCAGAGUUGGUGGGUUACUGGUGGUCCCAUUCUCAUGUCUCCACCAAAGUUCCAAAUAGGCAGAGUUGUCCCAUCAGCCAGCAGGAAUAUGCACAGCCACCUCCUGCUGGGUCCUCACCCCCCCUUCCCUGGUGCUGAUAGCUUUGCGGUGGAUGGUGUCAGCCAAUCAGCCAGCGCUUCCCCACCCCAGCAACACUCUUGACUUUUCUUAGCCUCAUCUUUCCUGUUACCCUUCUUAACACCUUCAUUCCAACUUAAUCUCAUCCUCACCUCUUCCCUUUCCUGCAAAAAACACAGGAAAGUCAUGCAACCCUCCCUUUCUUAGGAGUCUGGAAAUCCAGCUGCUAUUUUGCUUUUUUAUGGAAUUGAGGCUUUGAGGGGUAAAAAGUUGGAACACAUUUAUAGAGGGAGGGGGACCUGCUCUGGGGCUGGGGAAUGAAAGAGUUAGAAAGACAUCGUGUCAUGCCCUUGCUCUCAGUGGACAAGAUGUUUAAGUUAUUUGAAGAGGAGUGAUGCCUGGCUUGCUUUCCUCAUCCCAGCAAUCUCAGUUCCACAAUUCUGGUGUUUAUUGAGUGUCUCUUGUAAGCCGGGUACGGGGCCGGGGCCCGGGGUUCAGUGGGGUCAGCAAAUAUGGCCCCACCCUCAGGGAGCUAAUAGUCCAUCCUCGGGACAUCUUUGCUCGGGCGUCAUUCUGCCCAAUGGGUUUCCAAACCCUCUAGUCCCUCUCCAUUCUUACUUUCAUUGGGUUCAAUGCCAGCUGUCCGCACGAGUUGGGGUCCUUUGGGGAGAGAAUUGGUAGGAUUUUUUUGGAGGCCAGAGGGUAUUGGGAGAGGGGUGCGCAUGCUCUUAAACCCCAGGUUUAAGAGAGAAAGAGUCUUGGGCCGAGACAGGAAGAGGCAGGUGCAUUUGCUUUUUUUGCAGACCUCACUGAUUUGGUGCAGCCAAUUAAGGGGAAGAAAGCAGGAGCAGACAGGCUCUGCAUGCGUGGUGAGCUUUGCCUGAUGCGCCCGUGCUCUUCUCCUCCAUCUACGGCACAAGUUCAGCUCAGAUCGAUGCCAAGCUCGGUAAUUUAUUUAUGAAAUUAUAUAGCCCUUCCUCAAGUAACAUUUUACUUUUAUUUUAUUUCAUCUCCCAGAUCCCCACAGUGAAAGCAGAAGUUAUUUCCUCACAGGUAACAGCCUUUUGACACUCAUUCAUAUAAAUGGAAGGGAGAAUGGGGGAAAAUACCCCUAGCACGUGGCCGAUCCGGAGGCUAAGGCGUGAUGAUAGUUUAAAGGUUUCUGUCUCCAUUGGAUUCAGUCUCGACCUGGAAACCUGGGACGUUAACCCUCGCAGGCCCUUUUUUUCACUCCGUGGAACCAACGGUGACAGUCCCGAGUCCCGAGGACCACCUGUCACAGGGGGAGGGCUGGACUCCUCUGGCCCUUUGCACGCUUACAUCCACCUCCGUGCUCUUUAUUUGCUGCGGAACUUCCUGGCUUGUGUUCUGAGGCCCCAGGAUCGAUGGUUAUGAACAAAGGACGCGGCGCGCUCUCUCCGUGCCCCAAGCAAAGUUGGUGCUGCCAGCCCACAUCACUUGGAGAAUCUCUGAUGUCACAGCAUGGGGUGACCUCCCUCUGCCCGGGAGCUUGUCCCCCUGCUGAAUCACGUGCUGCCCUGAGUGGAUUAGUCCAGUGGCAGGUUCUGUAUUCUCCCCCGAAGUUCUCUCUCCUCUGGGAGUCUUCUGGGUUGGAGGGGCCACCAUCACUGACUUCACACCGAGGCCUUUCUUGGAGCGGGUCUCAGGGCUACCGGGAGGAGGUGCCGGUUGUGGCUUAGACCCACGAGUCUCUGUCCCUCUGUGUUUGGGUUCCUUUGUUCAAAACAACAGCGUCAGAGUUCCCGCUGUGGCUCAGCUGGUAGUGUCUGAAGAUGGGGGUUCAAUCCUUGGCCUUGCUCAGCGGGUUAAGGAUCAGCUGUUGCUGCAAGCUGUGGUGUAGGUCACAGAUGUGGCUUGGAUCCCUGUGUUGCUGUGGCUGUGCUGUAGGCUGGCAGCUGCAGCUCUGAUUCAACCCCUAGCCUGGGACCUCACAUGUGCCGCAGGUAUGUCCCUAAGAAGAAAAAAACAGGUCUAAACAAAACUCCAGUGUCAUCUUUGGUUCUUCCUUCUCCUUCAUCCCAACUCAGUUACUGACCAAACAUACUGUACUUUCCUCCUCAUUUGUUCUUUUUUUUUUUUUUUUUUUUUUUUUUGGGUCUUUUUAGGGUCACAUCCGUGGCAUCUGGAGGCUCCCAGGCUAGAGGUCUCAUCGGCCUCUGCCACAGCCACAGCAACGCGGGAUCUGAGCCGCGUCUGCAACCUACACCACAGCUCACAGCAACGCCGGAUCCUUAACCCACUGUGGGAGGCCGGGAUCAAAGCCACAACCUCAUGGUUCCUGGUCGGAUUCGUUUCCGCUGUGCCAUGGAGGGAACUCCCUCCUUCGUCUGGUUUUCUCCCCGUGUUCUACUUCCUGUCUGUGGCUUCCGGUCGGGGGUGCACCCCACUUCCCGCCUGCCCUGCCUUCUUCAUCUCACCGCCUCAGCCCUGUUCAGAUGUGUUUACCUCUUCUCCGCGAGUCUGAUAACACCUGUUCACUUUCUUUCCCGCUUUUGGUCUCAUUCCCUCCAGUGUGUUUGGCACUGAAGUGCCCAAUUCAUCUCCCUCAAGUAUAGCUUUCAGGUUACCGCUCUCUUGCUCAAGAAUCUUCAAUGGCUCCCCACAGAUUAUGGACCAUCUUUCCGCUUAAACCUGGCAUUCAAAGUUAUCCAUGUUUUGGAAUCAGCCUAUAAUUGGCUAUAUCUUUAACUUUCGCCCUAACGUAAAUCCAGCAUUGCAAUCAAAUCCCAUAUGAUUUAUGCGCCUCUGCUUCUGGUAAUGGCAGACUAGGUAAUUCAGACUGACCCCCCUUCUGAGGAAAAUUGGAAAGUUAUUUGCAAAAGUAUUCUUGAAGACAUAUGAAAGCUAACGAAAUGGUGUUUUGUUUGUUUGUUUGUUUGUUUUUUGCCACACCUGUGACACGUAGAAGGUCCAGACCAGAGAUUGAACCCUUGCCACAGCAGUGACCCAAACCACCCCAGCGACACCACCCGAUCCCUGACUCCCUGCACCACAAGAGAACUCCAAGUGGUGAAUUUUUAUAGGACCUUUUUAUUUUAUUCUAUUUUUAUUUACUCUUUAUUUUGGCUGCCCAGUGGCAUAUGGAAUUCCUGGGCCAGGGAUCAGAUCCGAACUGCAGUUGCAACCUAAGUGGUAGCUGCAGCAAUGCUGGAUCCUUAACCCACUCUGCCUGGUUGGGGACUGAACCUGCAUCCCAGUGCUUCCAGGACACCCCCAAUCCCAGUGCACCAUAGGGCCAAUUUUAGAAGAAGAGGGAAAUCAGGAAAUAAGUUACUAGAGGGGGUGGGACUUUUUGCUGGUUUCUAGAGAGGCAGCUGAGGGUGUAAGAAUUGUAUUUCAUAGCCUCAUGUGGUUAGGAGACAAAAGCUGGGGUUCAAAGGCUGUCGGAAUGGGUUGAGACUUAUAAGUAUACCCACCUUUGCAAGUUCUGAAGUUCAGCUUUGAACCAUGUAACUAAGAACAAUCUCAGUUCCUGAAAUGGAACUAAUGUUACACCGUAUUUUGCAAGACAGUCCCCUGGCUGAAGCAUUAGAAAACCGUCCGGAGGAGGAUUACAUUAUCCUAGUUAGAAAACUAUUCCUAUACACAAAUCUUUGAAUGCAAUGUCCAGCAUACAAUCAAAGGGAAGUUAGCACACAAGGAAACAGUUAAACAUGAACAAGAACCAGCAGAAACGAUAGAGUUGCAGGUUUUCUGGAUACUGCAGUUAUCAGGCACUAGCUUUAAAAUAACCUUGCUUACUAUUUUCAAGUAGAAAUAAGACAAGAUUAAAAAACCUGGCAGCAAGUUAGAAACUGUAAAGACUCUAUAGUAGAUUUGAAACAAGAACCAGAAAGAUACACCACAACUGAAAAAUACAACUGAAAUUAAGAACUCAAUGGAUGGAUUUUAAAAGAAUUUAGACAUAGCCAAAGGGGUAAUUAACAAAGUAGGGGACAGGGCAAAAGAAAGCAUCCAAAAUGAAGGAUAAAAAAUAAGAAAAGGGACAGAUGGUCAGUAGGUACAUGAAAAGAUGCUCAGCAUCACUAAUUAUUAGAGAAAUGCAAAUCACAACUGCAGUGCAGUAUCACCUCACAUCGGUCAGAUUGGCCAUCAUUAAAAAGGUCUAUAGGAGGAGUUCCCGUCGUGGCGCAGUGGUUAACAAAUCCGACUAGGAACCAUGAGGUUGCGGGUUCGAUCCCUGCCCUUGCUUAGUGGGUUAAGGAUCCAGCAUUGCCGUGAGCUGUGGUGUAGGUCACAGAUGUUGCUUGGAUCCCGCGUUGCUGUGGCUGUGGCGUAGGCCGGCGGCUACAGCUCUGAUGAGACCCCUAGCCCGGGAACCUCCAUAUGCCGAGGGAGUGGCCCUAGAAAAGGCAAAAAGACAAAAAAAAAGUCUACAGGGGUUCCCGUUGUGGAGCAGGGGAAACGAAUCUGUCUAGUAUCCAUGAGGAAUGUGGGUUCUAUCCCUGGCCUUGCUCAGUAUGUCAGGGAUCCGUCAUUGCCGUGAGCUGCAGUGUAGGUUGCACUCGCAGCUUGGAUCCUGUGUUGCUGUGGCUGUGGCUGUGGCAGCAGCUGUAGCUCCGAUUCCACCCCUAGCCUGGGAACCUCUGUAUGGUGUGAGUGAGGCCCUAAAAAGAAAAAAAA